rnacentral:rRNA from 1 species
GACGAACGCUGGCGGCGUGCUUAACACAUGCAAGUCGAACGGAAAGGCCCUGCUUUUGUGGGGUGAUCGAGUGGCGAACGGGUGAGUAACACGAGAGUAACCUGCCCUAGACUUUGGGAUAACUUCAGGAAACUGGGGCUAAUACCGGAUAGGAGCUCCUGCUGCAUGGAGGGGGUUGGAAAGUCUCGGCGGUCGGGGAUGGACUAGCGGCUUAUCAGCUUGUUGGUGGGGUAGUGGCUUACCAAGGCUUUGACGGGUAGCCGGCCUGAGUGGGUGACCGGCCACAUUGGGACUGAGAUACGGCCCAGACUCCUACGGGAGGCAGCAGUGGGGAAUAUUGCACAAUGGGCGGAAGCCUGAUGCAGCAACGCCGCGUGCGGGAUGACGGCCUUCGGGUUGUAAACCGCUUUCGCCUGUGACGAAGCGUGAGUGACGGUAAUGGGUAAAGAAGCACCGGCUAACUACGUG